UUGUUCCAGGUUUUGUGUGAGAGGAUCUCCGUGUGUCUCUGAAGGCAGGUAUAGCCUCCCUCUGAUUCUCUUCCUGGUUCCCGACACACAGUCUUCGGGAUAGAAGCCAUAGAGCUGCUUUGAAGAGUCCAGCCAGCAUCACUCCGGCGCAGAGAUUCAGAAUGAAGGAUUAACAUCACCAGAGCCCCUCUGCGACUCCACACUGUAGAACAAAAGAGCCGGAUUCAUCUCUCUGGUGUCUUCCAUCGGAGAUCUCCAUCAAGGGCUGGGAGCGGCCGCUGGCUUUGUGAGAGCGGAGAGGAGAGGAGAGGAGAGGAGAGAUUCACACCCUGAGAUGCUCUGCAAGCUGGAGGAGGAAGAGGAGAUGUCUCUACUGGAGCUUCAGCAGAGGGUGGAGUGUGUCCUCACUCAUGUUGAUGAGAUUAUGCAGCAGGAGAUCAGGCCGUUACUGGCUGUCGAUAUAAUUGAACAACUUCACAGGCAAUUUGCUCUUCUUUCAGGAGGAAGAGGAAAAGAUGGAUCUCCCAUCAUCACCUUCCCAGAGUUCUCAGGUUUUAACGAGGUGACGGAUGAGGAAUUCGUUAACGUCAUCACAUACCUGACCAGUAUACCAAGCAUGGAUGCAGCUAGCAUCGGCUUCAUCAUCAUCCUCGACCGCAGGAAGGACAAAUGGAACUCGGCAAUCACUUCUCUGUCACGGAUAGCGGGCUCCUUCCCAGGAAAUCUACAGCUUGUUCUGGUUCUGAAACCUUCACGCCUCCUCCAGAGGGCCAUCGCUGAUGUCAGUAUACGGUUACAUAGGGAUGACUUCAAAUUGAAGGUACCGAUUGUUAUGCUAAAUUCCCUGUCAGACUUGCACGGCUACAUUGACAAAGGCCAGCUGACCUGUGACCUGGGGGGAAGCCUGGAAUAUUGCCACAGUCAAUGGAUUCACCAUCGCACAGCCAUUGAGAACUUUGCGUUAACAGUGAAGAGCACAGCACAGAUGCUUCAGCAGUUUGGAACUGACCUGGCAGAAACUGAGCUUCCCAAUGACGUGCAGUGCACCAAAGAUUUGCUUAUCACACACACCGAAAAACACGAUAAGCUCAAGGAAGAGCUCAAAUUGGCAGUGAAACAAGGUCAUACUCUGCUGUCCUGUAUCAAAGACCAGGCCAGCAAAACCGAGAGCCACGUUUUGAAUCCAGAUGAGGUAGAGAACCAAACAACCGUUGAGAGGUUGUUAGCGCAGCUCGAUGAGACGGAGAAUGCGUUUGAACAGUUCUGGUCGAGGCAUCACCUCAAAUUAGAGCAGUGCUUACAGUUACGACACUUUGAGCAGGACUUCAGAGAGGUGAAAGUUUCUCUGGAUGGCCUGAUGGAAGUGUUAUUGGGGCUGUCUGACAUCGGGGACUGUGUGGCCCGGGUCGAUCACCUACUUGGGGAACUGAAAACCUUGGAGGACAAAGCCCAGGAGUCCUUGGAGAAAGCUCAGCUUCACGCUCAGCAUGGAGACCAGCUCAUUCAAAGCAACCAUUACGCUGUAGACUCAAUCCUCCCAAAGUGUGUCGAACUGCGUCGGAUCUGUGAUGACUUCAGCAAUGAGGCCAAAAAGAAACGUGACAUUCUAACCAAAUCACUUGAAAUCCACAAAGGAAUCGAUGAGGUGAACCAGUGGUGUGAAAGUGGAGUGUAUCUGUUGGCCUCUCAGGCGGUAGACAGAUGCCAGACCCAGGAAGGUGCAGAAGCAGCACUGCAGGACAUCGAGAGGUACAUGAAAACAGCCAAAGAGCAGCAGCUCAGUCAUCUCAAAGACCUCGGCAACCAGUAUGAGAUCAUCCUCUCAGAGCUGGUCAAGAGCAAAGCCCAAACUGCUCUUAAAAGGCUAGAUGAUGUUCAAGAGAUGUUUGAGAAAAGACAUGCGAGUCUGAAAAAGCUGUCCACAAAGCAAACAAGGCCAGUGCAACCUGUUGCACCUCGACCAGAAUCUUCACCAAAACGCAGUUCACCUAAAAUCCCGCCACCCACUGCAGCUGCAUCAAAUCGCAAAGCUACAGAGAACUCCUGUACCAAUAAGCAGCCCAGUGACGCAGAGCUGGCAAGGAGGAAAAAUAUUCGCAAAGCCAAAGGUGGCAUCAAGAUCGAGGUCAUGCAUGAAGGAGGCCAAGGGGGUUCGAGUCAUGUUCUCAUGAACAAUGAAACAGAAGAGUCGCUUUCAAACAGACGCAGUCACAUAAUGAAUGAAUUGAUUGAGACGGAGAGGCUGUACGUGGAAGAGCUGCAGAGCAUCAUAGAGGGAUAUUCCGCUGCACUGGAUGACCCCGAGCUGAUCUACUUGAUACCACCGUCUUUGGAAAACAAGAAGGAUGUUCUCUUCGGCAAUCUGCCAGAAAUCUACGAAUUUCACCAGAAGACGUUUCUUAAAGAGCUGGAAAAUUCUGCAGAAAAGCCAGAGUUGGUAGGGAUAUGCUUUUUGAAGCGGAAGGAAGAGUUACAGAUUUAUGAGAAAUAUUGUCAGAAUAAGCCACGCUCGGAGGCUCUGUGGCGGCAGUGUGGGGACAGUAUGUUCUUUCAGGAGUGUCAGAAGAGGUUAGACCACAAGCUUUCAUUAGAUGCAUAUCUGCUAAAACCUGUGCAGAGAAUCACCAAGUACCAACUGAUGUUAAAGGAGAUGCUGAAGUGCAGUAAAAACUCAGAGGGAACGGCCGAGCUAGAAGAAGCCCUGGCCACAAUGCUGGACAUCAUCAAAUCGGUCAAUGACUCCAUGCAUCAGAUCGCCAUCACUGGUUUUGAGGGUAAUCUGAAUGAUUUGGGCAAACUGCUCAUGCAGGGCUCGUUUAACGUUUGGACAGACCAUAAGAAAGGUCACAGUAAAGUGAAGGACUUGGCACGCUUCAAACCCAUGCAAAGACAUCUCUUCCUCUACCACAAAAUCCUUUUGUUCUGCAAGAAACGUGAGGAGACGUCUGAUGGUCAUGAGAAAUCCCCUUCCUACAGUUUCAAGCACUCGUUAAAGAUGAGCUCAGUGGGAAUCACAGAAAAUGUAAAGGGAGACAUCAAGAAGUUUGAAAUCUGGUACAAUGGCAGAGAGGAAGUUUACAUCAUUCAGGCCCCUUCCAUGGAUGUGAAGAACACGUGGGUGUCAGAGAUCCGCAAAGUCUUAACAAGCCAACUGGAGGCCUGCCGAGAAGCCAGUCAACUCCAUCAGAAGAUUACAGAGAACAUCUACCAUGCUCCCAUGAGAUAUAUGCGCAAAACAGCUCUCCGACAGUCGGACUCUUCCAGUCCUGAAACAGGCUACAGACGUGACACAGGCCCAAAUAUGCGUCAGAAACGAGCUGACGCUUCAGCCAGCCUCGGCUCGGAGCGAUCUGCUCUUGCUAGAAAGCGCUUCACCUUACAGGGCCUGUCAAACCGCAGGUCUCUUCCCGCAGAAGCUGCAGCUAAGGAGACUGAAGUCACACGCCGCUUUUCUUUAGCCUCGACUGUCAGCUCCGCCUCUGCACCGCGCACUAAAGUUCCUCUCUCCUCUAGCCUUAAGAGCAAGAGGCAUCAGAUCAAGAGCGACCCUACACCUUUUGGCUAUGAAGACACCAUGCGAGGUGCACUUCCCGCUGAGAGCAAAAGUAAAGGUACCGCCGGUACCAAGCCCGCUGUGCCGAGGUCUGCGUCUCAACCAGGAUGGAAUCAACGGCGUCUGCCAUCAAUGGACGCUGAGGAUUUUGAGACCAUUCCUUCUAGUGCUGAAGAACUCUCCAUUUCCUCAGAUGGAGAGGAUGAAGGACAUAACAAAAACGGGGAUAAUGAUCGCUAUCAGGUGCAGCUGACAUACGAGUCGGGAACCGCCCAGGAUCUUUCCGUAGAGGCUGGAGAGUUAGUACAAUUCCUGGAAGAGUCGGAGAAUGGCCACUGGCUAGUCAAGAACCUUAGAACUCAGAAGACAGGGCUGGUGCCGCCCACUGUCCUGCAGUCCACAGCAGAAGAAGUAGACCUUUACAGUAACUCUGGUACCGCACACCAAUCCCAGGAAGAGCAGCAGAAGGGCAUGACUGACAUCACCACUCUGGACACACUUAGUUCAGACUGAUGGUCACCAUAAAAUUCAAUCAUAUAUUUAGCGCAUACUCUAUGAGGAUUACAUCUUUUAUGGCGAUGCAUUAGACGAUGCACUUUGACCUCUCAUGUCACUCUGCCCCUUCUCGCUCUUACACAUAUCUUACAUGUGAAUGCACACAAGACACCGUCGUGAAACACACCGGCUGUAAUUUGAGAUCUAGAUAUUUUCAGUGACCUCUGCACAGCUGCCCUCACCAAUACCGAGGACGCAGACGACACA